CCAAAAGGCAGAGAAGAGAUUUCCCUUCUAUUGUAGCAAGGGGUUUAAAUUUUGGUCCUUGCCCCCUUUGGUGGAGGCAGUGGGUGAACAGCCAGGUUGUGUAUGACCUAACCCUACCAGAGAAGAUGCAACUGCCUAGAGUUCUAGUCCCACUCAUGGUCUGAUGAAUCUCAUGAAUCUCAUGAAUCUAAUGAAGGAAGUGGGAUUUCCUGUUUCUUGCUCAGAUUUCUCAGCCCUGGUCAGUGACUUAUGGGCCUAAAAGCAAAGAUGUUCCCUACCACUGAAAUGUGAGGUUCAGCGACCCAGCUCUGACUUUCUCCAGAGCAGACAGAGCAGUGGCAGCAGAGAUUUCUGUACCAUUCUGUCUGUGGAAGUACAACAGCCAGGAGACUUAGUCUCAGUGUUUGUUAUUGGCUUAUGGAAUACAGUAAGUUCCAGAGUUGAUUCUCAGCCUUGUCUCUCUCUACUCCUUCCUGAUCAUAUUCCAAUGGCACACUGUUAACAGAUAUUCAUAAGCAUUGUCAGUUGUAAUGCAUAAUACAUCCACUAAACCAAUUUGCUGUUACAUGUGCUAAGUAACACAACCAAAACAUUAAUUAGACUUAGACUUCCCAAUUAUAGCAAUAAAACUUGAUUAUUCAAGAGUGUGCAAACACUAGUCUCUACGUUCUAUUACAAUAAUAGCAUUAACCCCAGUAGGAACAAACCACUAAUCUAAUUUCCUCUAGUUUCCCAAUAAGUAUGUCUUGCAGUGCUGCUCAAUGACAAGGUUCCCUCUCUGCCCAGCCAGAGGCCGUGUGUCUCCCUGCAAGGUGUUUGCCAGGUAAGUGAGCAAAUUUCUGCUGUCAAUUCACAGUGCUCUCAUUGAAUCCAGAGGAUGCUUGAGUCUUAAGAACUGGGAAUGCAGGAGCCAAACUUAAAGGGGAGCCAAAGGUAUGCUGAAGGCUGGGGGCAUUGGUGGCCUUCUUAGAGUUGUACCUAUGGGCAUUAGCUGGUUACACCAAAUUCUGCUUGGUGUCCAGUGAUGUUAUUUGGCUACCAGUUAAUUUGAUUGAUACCUGGCAAAAUAAGGUCAUGACAAGGUUAUUUUAAAAAUGUCCCUUAGUGGCCUGUCCUGCCAGGGAGGGGAGAUCCCAUAUUUUUAACUGUAGAUAAUGGAAACAGGCCUAAUGCAAAAUGAAAUCAGUUGUGUCAAGGCAAAAAAAAAAUAUUUUGACUGUAGUGCCUGACUUCAUCUCUAUACAGUCAUUCAAUGAUAGAUGUAAUUGGGGUUUCAUGAUGCAUACAACUAAAGCUCCAAGUGUUUUUAGUAUAAAAUAAGUAGACAGGAUCUGAGGUCUGAAUGAGACUUCCAGGUCUGCUGAGAACAAAAUCAGAGAUAUGACCACUGUAUUUAAUUUUCCUCCAACUUGUUUUUCUUGUUUUUUAUGCCUUUUCAUUUCCCUCAUUCCUGCAUGUGUUGAAUGGAAGGAGGAAAAAUAGACAUUGCAAGUAGCAAAGGAUAUCCUAGGUCAGGGUUGGAGUCGGGGGUCAACCAGAGAUCAAUUUCUCUACUUAUUUGUCUGUGAAUCCCUUAAGGUUAACUUGAUUUUUCCAUUUAUGGGUCUUAGCAUUAUUCUAGUGAAGAGUUCAACAAUCUCCCUCUUCUAGACACAUUUCAUUUUGAAAAGCUCAUUGUUAUUUCAGAAAAGUGAGUUUCCAGAAUUGCAUUUGCUUAAGAAAUGUAUAGAGGUUGGGGGGUGGGGGCAUCAGUCAGGGCAACCCCGGACUGGUGCUUCCUGAUGAGCCAAUGAAAUGGUUCCACUGCCCUCCUGAGGCAUCUUUCUUUGCAAGUGCUCCUAUGCAUCUGUACCAGUAAAAAGAAUAACUUGCUUCUAUAAAGAAAGCUAUAAAUUUUGGGUCACUUUGGAGAUUCUGAGCAAACUGUGAGAUUAGUAAUUUUCUUAUCCUGAUAUUACAGGGGAGAGACCAGAGGAUAACACAGGAUAAGUAACUUGGUUACCUUAACAGGUCUGGUAAGUAGAUGAGUUGGGAGGUAAAGUCCAGGCUUCCUGACCCUGCAGGUCAGAUUGUGACCACCAAGCUAUUUGGAAUGCUGCCUGUCAAACAUCAUUUUUCUUUCCCUGCCACAUAUGUAUUUAUUCUUGCCUUGCUCGACUUACCUAAAAAUUCAUGGUCCACAUAGCCUAGAACUAUAGGCCUUUUCAAAGGCUCUCUAUUUGGAAGCCCCUUAUCAGACAACUGAGAAAAGUGAGGCCCUCGGGUUUUCCAGGGCCUAAUCAAAAGAAUGUGUCUGAUGUAUGCAUUAGGUCCUCUACUUGGCUGAUUCCAGAUGCUGGCCACUGGACACUACCAUAAGUGUGUCUCUACCUCAGUCUGAUUUGAUUCUCCCUUGUCAUUUCCCUUCACUUGAGUCCAUCAAAUGGAAUCAGCAGGACAAAAUAUUUCAAGUAGUUGGAAUGCCAGACACCUGGGACAAUGUAUAGAGUGAUCCAUGCUGUCAGUCUUACCAUUUCUUUUCCUCAAAGUCCUUGAGGCUUCACCUCAGUUCAGCUUUUCUCAUUCCUAGGAUGGAGAUACCCUGGAAGAUUUGGAAAGUGGCCCUCUGGUUCACAGAUGUUCUUAUACAACCAUUCCUCUUCCUUUCUAAAUGAUUAUUCCCAGGAAGAGCUGAGCAAUCUUCCCAUUGUGGAUAAAUUUCAUUUUGACAAGGUCACUGUUUCUUUUCAAAGGGGGGAGAAAUGGAUGAAGGUUGCCAUUGGGGGUGUUGUUUGGCCUUGCCUAAGAGCUCUUCCAUAAUGUAAUGGACAGAUUCCAUUCUUAUGUUCCAGAAAGGAAGAAGGAAAGGUAAAAGGCUCACUAGGAAGAAGCAGGAAUCUCUGCAAGUGCCUUGGAACCAGAGAAGCAAAUCCAUUGGAAAGAGGUCACUUCAGAGCUGCCCUGGGAAUGAGGCCUAUUCCUGAAGGUCCAAGGGAAGAUGUUGCCAGGGACCAGACAACUACAUGCAACACCUGGGACUCAAGAUGAAAUGCGCUGAUUAACUGAACAUUGGGAGUGGGUUAUAAUGAGAACUGAUGUUAUUUAAUUUUGAUGAUCAUAAUUUAUUUACUUUGGUCUUUUGUUUCAUGGUAUUUAUGUUUACUGAGUUUUCUUUGUUUAUAUGUAAAUCUCCUCUCUAAAAUUAAUACAUGAGGAACCUCUAAAUGGCUUGAUGUAUAACCUGCCUUAGUUUACAUAUAGAGCUUAUUUAACAAAGUUUGUCUCCAUGGGGGAUACAUGAGAUUAUGAUUCUGUACCUAAGUUUAUUCAACUUUAUGACAUUGAUGGAAACAUGGGAUUAUGAUUUGUGAUGAUCAUGGCCCCAGUACACUUGUUUCCAAUUGUAAGUUUAAGUAUCCUAGCUCAUAACCACUGAUGCUUGCUCAGAUUGAUUUGGCAUGACCAGCAAAGAGUAGGAUGAUGUAGUUAAGGAUAAAACAGUGAGAUGGAACCAGUUGGGGUGCUGUGCUAGAUAAAUAGAUAGAUAGAUAUAGAUAUGUAAAUGUAUGUGUGUAUGUAUGUAUAUAUAUAUAUA